UACGUAGGUGACGAGAGUUAUCCGGAAUUAUUGGGCGUAAAGCGCACGCAAGCGGUCUGUCAAGUCUGACGUGAAAUCUCUUGGCUUAACUGGGAGCGGUCGUUGGAAACUGAUAGGCUUGAGGCGAUGAGAGGGGUGCAGAAUUCCUGGUGUAGUGGUGGAAUGCGUAGAGAUCAGGAGGAAUACCUGUGGCGAAAGAGGCACCCUGGCGUCGUUAUGACGCUCAUGUGCGAAAGCGUGGGGAGCGAACGGG
rnacentral:rRNA from 1 species